AACUUUCAACAACCGGUCUCUUGGUU
rnacentral:rRNA from 1 species